rnacentral:rRNA from 1 species
UACGUAGGCAGCGAGCGUUGUUCGGAAUUACUGGGCGUAAAGAGUGUGUAGGCGGUGCUCUAAGUUCGGUGUGAAAUCUCCUGCUUAACUGGGAGGGUGCGCCGGAAACUGGAGUGCUUGAGCGUGGGAGAGGAAAGCGGAAUUCCUGGUGUAGCGGUGAAAUGCGUAGAUAUCUGGAGGAACACCGGUGGCGAAGGCGGCAUCCUGGACCGACACUGACGCUGAGGAGCGAAAGCCAGGGGAGCAAACGGG